UAAAAUACACCCGGGUUAGUAGGCGCACGGGGAGGGAAAGUAUUUUAAAAUAAAGUCAACCAAGUGUCCCUAAAAGUGCUUAAAACCCAGGCCGAGGUCUAUGUGGUGCAGGUGAGACAUGGGACACGCCUCGGAUGAUGUUUAAAAAUACUUUAUUAAUGGGCUUAUUUCAGGGUGUUUCUGUGCGGGAGGCUCCAACAUCCAUUUAAAAUACAAUGGAAAGUAAUAACUAAAAUAUAAAUAAAAUAAUAUAAACAAUGUUUAAAUAGCAAACAGGGGAUUAAUAAUAAAUAGGAUAACAUAUAUAACCUCCUCAUUUGGAACCUAAUCAAAUAAGAAAACAUGCAAUAGGCGGGGGCCAUGUCUCUCCUGCCUGUGUCAGUAUAAAUUAGAAGUUUCUUUUGGCUUUCAGACACACUUCAUGGGUUUCUUUAAUUCCUGGUGUUUCUGCAGAACCUCUCACAUCACUCCUGUCCGCUGACACAGAAACAACCUCAGCUGCUGGGUCAUUAUUUAGAUUUUACUCAACAGAAGGACACACUUCAUGGGUUUCUUUAAUUCCUGGUGUUUCUGCAGAACCUCUCACAUCACUCCUGUCCGCUGACACAGAAACAACCUCUGCUGCUGGGUCAUUAUUUAGAUUUUACUCAACAGAAGGAACCUCUCACAUCACUCCUGUCCGCUGACACAGAAACAACCUCUGCUGCUGGGUCAUUAUUUAGAUUUUACUCAACAGAAGGAUUUUUAGUCAAAAUGAAGAUCGCUGCCUUCAAUGUCCAGACACUGGGAUGGGAUAAAGUCAACAACCAGGACGUACGGGAUAAUAU